rnacentral:rRNA from 1 species
GAUGAACGCUGGCGGUAUGCCUAACACAUGCAAGUCGUACGAGAGUUUUUAACUCUAGUGGCGGACGGGUGAGUAACACGUGAGAAUUUGCCUUUAGGAGGGGGAUAACAAUUGGAAACGAAUGCUAAUACCCCAUAUGCUUUUGAGUGAAAUGGAUUUUAUCCGCCUAGAGAGAAGCUCGCGGCUGAUUAGCUUGUUGGUAAGGUAAGAGCUUACCAAGGCGACGAUCAGUAUCUGGUUUGAGAGGACGAUCAGACACACUGGAACUGAGACACGGUCCAGACUCCUACGGGAGGCAGCAGUGGGGAAUUUUCCGGCAAUGGGCGAAAGCCUGACGGAGCAAUACCGCGUGAGGGAAGAAUGCCUAUGGGUUGUAAACCUCUUUUUUCUAGGGAGGAAUCAAAUGACGUGUACCUGAAGAAUAAAGCAUCGGCUAACUCCGUG